rnacentral:rRNA from 1 species
UCAACCUCAAAUCAGGUAGGAUCACCCGCUGAACUUAAGCAUAUCAG